rnacentral:rRNA from 1 species
GAUUAUGUGGAGCGUGAGGAGCUAAACACCUUCAUGCCUGCGUAUUCGUGCACUUUGGGUGUACUUGCCCGCAUGGUUGGUUAACAUCAAUUUCGGAAGCCAUAAAAUGGUUGGAGGAAUGUGGCUUCGACCUCGGUUGAAGUGUUAUAGCCUUCAGCAGAUGUGGUGAUCGAGAUUGAGGAUUGCAACGGAUACCCUUCGGGGCUACCUGUCUGAUCUCUGAUCGUUACUCUGGUGUCGAAAGCGUGCUUACGGUCAUCAAAGUUGAUGGUCAACAGGUUAGAAUGGGUUAAAUUCGUUAAGGAUGUUGACGUA